UACAGGGGGUCACACGUUUGUUCGGAAUCACUGGGCGUAAAGAGUUCGUAGGCGGACCAAUUAGUAUAGGGUUAAAUCCCGGGGCCUAACCCCGGACCUGCUCUAUAAACGGUUGGUCUAGAGUAUUGGAGAGGAUAGCGGAAUUCCAGGUGUAGAGGUGAAAUUCGUAGAUAUCUGGAGGAACACCUGAGGCGAAGGCGGCUAUCUGGUCAAGCACUGACGCUAAAGAACGAAAGCGUGGGGAUCGAAACAAGG
rnacentral:rRNA from 1 species